rnacentral:rRNA from 1 species
AUUGAACGCUGGCGGUAUGCUUUACACAUGCAAGUCGAACGGUAACAGGUCUUCGGAUGCUGACGAGUGGCGAACGGGUGAGUAAUGUAUCGGAACGUGCCUAGUAAUGGGGGGAUAACCACUCGAAAGAGUGACUAAUACCGCAUAAUAUCUCAGGAUGAAAGCGGGGGAUCGUAAGGCCUCGCGUUAUUAGAGCGGCCGAUAUCAGAUUAGGUAGUUGGUGGGAUAAAAGCCUACCAAGCCAACGAUCUGUAGCUGGUCUGAGAGGACGACCAGCCACACUGGGACUGAGACACGGCCCAGACUCCUACGGGAGGCAGCAGUGGGGAAUUUUGGACAAUGGGGGCAACCCUGAUCCAGCCAUGCCGCGUGAGUGAAGAAGGCCUUCGGGUUGUAAAGCUCUUUCUAGACGGAAAGAAAACGACAUCGGUGAAUACCCGGUGUGGAUGACGGUACCGUAAGAAGAAGCACCGGCUAACUACGUGCCAGCAGCCGCGGUAAGCACGG